AUUGAACGCUGGCGGCAGGCCUAACACAUGCAAGUCGAGCGAGCGGCGGACGGGUGAGUAAUGUCUGGGAACCUGCCUGAUGGAUGGGGAUAACUCCUGGAAACGGUAGCUAAUACCGCAUACCAUCAGAUUUGCCCAGAUGGGAUUAGCUGGUCGGUGGGGUAACGGCUCACCUAGUCGACGAUCCCUCGCUGGUCUGAGGGGAUGACCAGCAACCCUGGAACUGAGAAACGGUCAAGAUUCCUACGGGAGGCAGCAGAGGGAAAUAUUGGAAAAUGGGCGCAAGCCUGAUGCAGCAAGGCCGGGUGUGUGAAGAAGGCUUUCGGGUGGUAAAGCACUUUCAGCGGGGAGGCGUUACCAGCAGAAGAAGCACGGGCUAACUCCGUGCCAGCAGCCGGGUAAUAC
rnacentral:rRNA from 1 species